GAGCGGGGCCCACGUGGGAGCAUGAGGCAGUUGGGCGGGGAGAGGGGCGAGGAGAGGGGCGAGAACAAGGGUUGUCAUAAAAAUUUAAAUCGUUCUUCAAAAGGAAAAUAAUGGACAGGCCACAGGCUGGGAGAAAAUACAUAUCUGACGAAGGACUUAUAUCAAAAAUACAUAAAAAACUCUUACGACGAGAGAAUACAGUCUACUUUUUUUAGGUCUGAGUGCUCAGGAAGGUGACACUGCAAGGGACCCCCCAGGACAAGAGACCCAUUGUAUCACCUGAGACAAGACCAUGUCAAAUGGCACCAGUAUAAAGAUAAUGCAAGCUUGAGGGAACAGCCUUGAACCGGCACUGGAUGGAGUAGGCAAAGGAUCCAAGCCUAAAUUAGGUGAAAUAAUUUACCCCAGACACCCAGUGAGGCAGUGCUGAGCCGGGAAUCAAGCAGUUCUGCUUGGCUCUUGGGCCUGUGCUUUUGGCCACCUCAUUCCAUACACGUGACAUCCAGCAAAGGGACCCCUCGCCUGCCUCAGAAUCUGUGCAAGGUUGGUCUCAGAGCCAAGACUAUAGAGUGGACCAUGACGUUUGCAAAGCUGAGUGAACAGAUGUCAGGGGCCUCUGUCAUGAACUUUGGUGAUGGAUAAAGAAAAGAUUGUGUUCCUUCCUGCAAUACCUGGAAAUACAUUAAUUUAUAUUUAAUGAAUAAACACUGUUUAAA